UACGGGGGGGGGUAAGCGUUGUUCGGAAUUACUGGGCGUAAAGGGCUCGUAGGCGGCCAACUAAGUCAGACGUGAAAUCCCUCAGCUUAACUGGGGAACUGCGUCUGAUACUGGAUGGCUUGGAUCCGGAAGAGGGAUGCGGAAUUCCAGGUGUAGCGGUGAAAUGCGUAGAUAUCUGGAGGAACACCGAUGGCGAAGGCAAUCCCCUGGGCCUGCACUGACGCUCAUGCACGAAAGCGUGGGGAGCAAACAGG
rnacentral:rRNA from 1 species